rnacentral:lncRNA from 1 species
AACAAAUUCAUUAAAAGAAAUUAAAUCUGUUUCUAUGUUUGAUUGACUGAAUAUUUUUGAUUUUGUUUACUGACUAGUACAUUAUGUAUUUUAAAAUUAAUACAGCGAAUAAAAUUUUAAACUUGGACACAGAAAAGGGGAUAGAAGUUAGGAUUUUAAAAUUAGAACUUGAUUAUCAUGUUUUCCAUGUUCAAUCUUCCUAAGCAAAGAUGCAUAAUCAAAUUUCCUCAUUUAAUCAUAAGUCCGUGUCUUGCAUUUGUUCCUCAUCCUUCAAUGAUAACGACUGAUAUAUAUACAUAUAACAUUCAUUUUAAAAUUCAUAUUAUUCAGGCACUUUUAUCUACAAUCUCCUUUCCUCUUUAAACUGAUCACUGGACAUAUUUAUCUCUCACAAAGAAACUUCGAUAUUUUAGAUAGAAAAUAUUAUUUCCAUAACUUGUUAAAUCACAAAUAUGACAUACAUUCUGCUUUAAAUCCUUUCUCUCAUAAAUUCUAAAUAAUUGGUAUGUUUAGCCAAGUAUUUAUGUGCAGUAUUUGCACUUAUUUAAAACAUGAUGAUGAAUUCCUUCAUUUCUCAGGCACAGAUACCCCAACACAGUUAAAUGAAUAAAAGCAUAAUCUCUAAGCAAUUUACAUUUUUAAUAUCUUGACUCGAGAUAAGCCAUACGUUUCUACUACGCUGCUGACACUUAGUGCCAUCUAUUGUCAAUAAUAUCAACUAAGAUUUUGAUAAAAAAUUCCGUCCUAUAGAAUUCGACCAUCAUAUAGAAUAAAAAGAUACAGCAUUAACGUGUUCUUUAAUAGUAGAGCAUCAACAUAAAUUUCAUAAAAAUCUACUGUUUAUCUACAAUUUAAAGAUUAUUUAGUGUGGACAUAGACAUACAGACACGCGUCUUUAUCUUAAGUUCAGUUUUUUCGGAAAAUAGCUAAAAUUAUUUUUAUUCUUUUCUAAACUUCAGUUUACUCUACUUGUUUCGCCAUUACUUAAAGCACAUUAUCAAAAAUUAUGUUCAUCUCUGGAAGCGAUAAGCGAACUUAUUGUUUUUAGAAUUUUCUAAAUUUUAAAUUCAUAAAUAACACAAAAAUUGUAACUGAAGACAACAUAACUAAAGCCAUGCUUUUGCAAAUGGAAGAAAAAUAGCAUUAACACUUCACAAUCAACACGAAUGUAAGCUUUUUAAGAACAAUAAAAUUCAUUAAUUUUUAUUAUUUCUAUUUAAAUGAAUAGUUUAUUAUGUUAUGGUGCAAAAAAAUUAUAUUUUAACUGUAAAAAGAAAGAGUAUAUAUACAUAAAGGAACAAUGAUGAAAAGAUGCAACAUUUUACAACGUUCUCUUAGAACUUUUCACAAACAGAAUUAAUGUGGUAUUCAUCUCGUAGCUUUCUAGUAAUAAACAUUAGAUUUUUUUUAAUAUUGUAAGGUCCGAAGAGACCUCAACUGGAUGAAUAUGUCUGUAAUCAUAUGAGUGUCACAGAAAAAAAGGGAAAGAAAUAUGAAUCUAUCUUAGUAGAUCAUUUUAGAAAAAGAGGAAUGUUGAGGAUAUACGGAGUUCGGGCCUAUUGUAGCGUGUCACUCUAUACCUCAUCAUAAUGCAAUCGGGAGUGACAUCUUAGAGUGUUGAAUAAUCACUUUGUUUAUCGUUUCAGUUGGUCCGGAACACUCUGUCCUUUAUAAUAGAGGAAGAACAAUGGAACAAUUAAGAAUAACGAUUACAUAAAAAAUCGAGUGACACGAAGUUUUCACGCGAUAAGGGCAGAGAAAAGAAUAUAACCAAGGCGAAAGAUGAAAGAAAUGUCUUUCCCCCGAGAGGGGAAGUGCUGAUGGAGGGGAGUCUUUCGCAAGUACUUCGAAAGAGAAGGAUAGUUUUUGAGGAGUCCGUCGCAAACCUCCGAUCAGUGCGUGUAACAGAAAGAGGAAGAAUCACUUCUGCUACGUUCACAUCAGAUAAUAAAAUUAUCCGGUGUUACUAUAUUAAUAGACUAAAGACUGUGCUGUGUUGUGGAUUAAAGACUGUAAAAAAGUAUCAAAAGAUUCCAGUGUCGAAAUCAUCGUUUCAAGUUUAUAUAAAUUAUCAUUGACAGUAAAAGAAAAUCGGGCAUCUAUCCUCUGAAUAUACAGAUGUAAAAUCUUCUCUCUCUCAAUAGAAGAGCUAUAGUUUGAUUAAACUGCUGCUGUUUUCAAUCGCUGUGUCAAAGAUAUCGUGGAUCCUCCUGUAGAGUUUAUCCAUGUGGAUUCACAAUAUUAAAUUUUUUAUGAGCAAAUUAAUAUUAAUCAGUAUCUAGUUCUUAACGAAGAGAAAAAAAACUAGUUCUUAUCACGAAAGAAAUAGUACAGUAAGUAGUUAAAAGAUUUAGAUAUAAAUAUCAUUCAUUUAAUUAACUAGUUAUUAUCAGUGAAAAUUAUUAAUAAUUAUCGCC